GAUCAUGGCUCAGGAUGAACGCUGGCGGCGUGCCUAACGCAUGCAAGUCGAACGAAGCUUGACGGAUGAUUUCUUCGGAAUGAAACCAGAUAUGACUUAGUGGCGGACGGGUGAGUAACACGUGAGCAACCUGCCUUUCAGAGGGGGAUAACGGCUGGAAACGGUCGCUAAUACCGCAUGAUGUGUUCGGAUGGCAUCAUCUGAACAUCAAAGAUUUAUCGCUGAAAG
rnacentral:rRNA from 1 species